CAGCUCGCCACUGGGCCACUGAUGCCAGCGUAUGAUAACCCAUCGGGGCAGUGGCGGCAGGC
ensembl:miRNA mdo-mir-12360 mdo-mir-12360